rnacentral:rRNA from 1 species
UACGUAGGCAGCAAGCGUUGUUCGGAGUUACUGGGCGUAAAGAGUGCGUAGGCGGUGCCCUAAGUCUGUUGUGAAAUCUCCCGGCUUAACUGGGAGGGUGCGGUGGAAACUGGGGUGCUUGAGUGUGGGAGAGGUAAGCGGAAUUCCUGGUGUAGCGGUGAAAUGCGUAGAUAUCAGGAGGAACACCGGUGGUGUAGACGGCUUACUGGACCACGACUGACACUGAGGCACGAAAGCGUGGGUAGCAAACAGG